rnacentral:rRNA from 1 species
GAUGAACGCUGGCGGCGUGCCUAAUACAUGCAAGUCGAGCGAACUGAUUAGAAGCUUGCUUCUAUGACGUUAGCGGCGGACGGGUGAGUAACACGUGGGCAACCUGCCUGUAAGACUGGGAUAACUUCGGGAAACCGAAGCUAAUACCGGAUAGGAUCUUCUCCUUCAUGGGAGAUGAUUGAAAGAUGGUUUCGGCUAUCACUUACAGAUGGGCCCGCGGUGCAUUAGCUAGUUGGUGAGGUAACGGCUCACCAAGGCAACGAUGCAUAGCCGACCUGGGGGGGUGAGCGGCCACGCUGGGACUGAGACACGGCCGAGACUCCUACGGGAGGCAACAGUGGGGAAUCUUCCGCAAUGGACGAAAGUCUGACGGAGCAACGCCGCGUGAGUGAUGAAGGCUUUCGGGUCGUAAAACUCUGUUGUUAGGGAAGAACAAGUACAAGAGUAACUGCUUGUACCUUGACGGUACCUAACCAGAAAGCCACGGCUAACUACGUGCCAGCAGCCGCCGUAAUAC